rnacentral:rRNA from 1 species
UAAGUGACUAAGCGUACACGGUGGAUGCCCUGGCAGUCAGAGGCGAUGAAGGACGUGCUAAUCUGCGAAAAGCGUCGGUAAGGUGAUAUGAACCGUUAUAACCGGCGAUGUCCGAAUGGGGAAACCCAGUGCAAUUCGUUGCACUAUCGUUAACUGAAUACAUAGGUUAACGAGGCGAACCGGGGGAACUGAAACAUCUAAGUACCCCGAGGAAAAGAAAUCAACCGAGAUUCCCCCAGUAGCGGCGAGCGAACGGGGAGCAGCCCAGAGUCUGAAUCAGCUUGUGUGUUAGUGGAACGGUCUGGAAAGUCCGACGGUACAGGGUGAUAGUCCCGUACACCAAAAUGCACAGGCUGUGAACUCGAAGAGUAGGGCGGGACACGUGGUAUCCUGUCUGAAUAUGGGGGGACCAUCCUCCAAGGCUAAAUACUCCUGACUGACCGAUAGUGAACCAGUACCGUGAGGGAAAGGCGAAAAGAACCCCGGCGAGGGGAGUGAAAAAGAACCUGAAACCGUGUACGUACAAGCAGUGGGAGCACCUUCGGGUGUGACUGCGUACCUUUUGUAUAAUGGGUCAGCGACUUAUAUUCUGUAGCAAGGUUAACCGUAUAGGGGAGCCGCAGGGAAACCGAGUCUUAACUGGGCGUUAAGUUGCAGGGUAUAGACCCGAAACCCGGUGAUCUAGCCAUGGGCAGGUUGAAGGUUGGGUAACACUAACUGGAGGACCGAACCGACUAAUGUUGAAAAAUUAGCGGAUGACUUGUGGCUGGGGGUGAAAGGCCAAUCAAACCGGGAGAUAGCUGGUUCUCCCCGAAAGCUAUUUAGGUAGCGCCUCGUGAAUUCAUCUUCGGGGGUAGAGCACUGUUUCGGCUAGGGGGUCAUCCCGACUUACCAACCCGAUGCAAACUACGAAUACCGAAGAAUGUUAUCACGGGAGACACACGGCGGGUGCUAACGUCCGUCGUGAAGAGGGAAACAACCCAGACCGCCAGCUAAGGUCCCAAAGUCAUGGUUAAGUGGGAAACGAUGUGGGAAGGCACAGACAGCCAGGAUGUUGGCUUAGAAGCAGCCAUCAUUUAAAGAAAGCGUAAUAGCUCACUGGUCGAGUCGGCCUGCGCGGAAGAUGUAACGGGGCUAAACCAUGCACCGAAGCUGCGGCAGCGACACUAUGUGUUGUUGGGUAGGGGAGCGUUCUGUAAGCCUGCGAAGGUGACCUGUGAGGGUUGCUGGAGGUAUCAGAAGUGCGAAUGCUGACAUAAGUAACGAUAAAGCGGGUGAAAAGCCCGCUCGCCGGAAGACCAAGGGUUCCUGUCCAACGUUAAUCGGGGCAGGGUGAGUCGACCCCUAAGGCGAGGCCGAAAGGCGUAGUCGAUGGGAAACAGGUUAAUAUUCCUGUACUUGGUGUUACUGCGAAGGGGGGACGGAGAAGGCUAUGUUAGCCGGGCGACGGUUGUCCCGGUUUAAGCAUGUAGGCUGGUUGUCCAGGCAAAUCCGGAUAAUCAAGGCUGAGGUGUGAUGACGAGGCACUACGGUGCUGAAGUAACAAAUGCCCUGCUUCCAGGAAAAGCCUCUAAGCAUCAGGUAACAUCAAAUCGUACCCCAAACCGACACAGGUGGUCAGGUAGAGAAUACCAAGGCGCUUGAGAGAACUCGGGUGAAGGAACUAGGCAAAAUGGUGCCGUAACUUCGGGAGAAGGCACGCUGGUGUGUAGGUGAAGUCCCUGCGGAUGGAGCUGAGACCAGUCGAAGAUACCAGCUGGCUGCAACUGUUUAUUAAAAACACAGCACUGUGCAAACACGAAAGUGGACGUAUACGGUGUGACGCCUGCCCGGUGCCGGAAGGUUAAUUGAUGGGGUUAUCCGUAAGGAGAAGCUCUUGAUCGAAGCCCCGGUAAACGGCGGCCGUAACUAUAACGGUCCUAAGGUAGCGAAAUUCCUUGUCGGGUAAGUUCCGACCUGCACGAAUGGCGUAAUGAUGGCCAGGCUGUCUCCACCCGAGACUCAGUGAAAUUGAACUCGCUGUGAAGAUGCAGUGUACCCGCGGCAAGACGGAAAGACCCCGUGAACCUUUACUAUAGCUUGACACUGAACAUUGAGCCUUGAUGUGUAGGAUAGGUGGGAGGCUUUGAAGCGUGGACGCCAGUCUGCGUGGAGCCAACCUUGAAAUACCACCCUUUAAUGUUUGAUGUUCUAACGUUGGCCCCUGACCGGGGUUGCGGACAGUGUCUGGUGGGUAGUUUGACUGGGGCGGUCUCCUCCCAAAGCGUAACGGAGGAGCACGAAGGUUAGCUAAUCCUGGUCGGACAUCAGGAGGUUAGUGCAAUGGCAUAAGCUAGCUUGACUGCGAGCGUGACGGCGCGAGCAGGUGCGAAAGCAGGUCAUAGUGAUCCGGUGGUUCUGAAUGGAAGGGCCAUCGCUCAACGGAUAAAAGGUACUCCGGGGAUAACAGGCUGAUACCGCCCAAGAGUUCAUAUCGACGGCGGUGUUUGGCACCUCGAUGUCGGCUCAUCACAUCCUGGGGCUGAAGUAGGUCCCAAGGGUAUGGCUGUUCGCCAUUUAAAGUGGUACGCGAGCUGGGUUUAGAACGUCGUGAGACAGUUCGGUCCCUAUCUGCCGUGGGCGCUGGAGAAUUGAGGGGGGCUGCUCCUAGUACGAGAGGACCGGAGUGGACGCAUCACUGGUGUUCGGGUUGUCAUGCCAAUGGCACUGCCCGGUAGCUAAAUGCGGAAGAGAUAAGUGCUGAAAGCAUCUAAGCACGAAACUUGCCCCGAGAUGAGUUCUCCCUGAGACUUUAAGUCUCCUGAAGGAACGUUGAAGACGACGACGUUGAUAGGCCGGGUGUGUAAGCGCAGCGAUGCGUUGAGCUAACCGGUACUAAUGAACCGUGAGGCUUAACCU